GGUCCAGAUUUCACCUCCCAGUGUGUGUUUGUUCAGUUCCAUCACCAGCUCAUCCCUUAGCCAAUCAGAGGUAUCGUAUAUCUGUAAUAUUAUAGGCAAAUUUUUAUACCAAUUCUGAAAUCUCAUUGGCUGAGCAGUGUUUCGAGCUGUAUGUACAUGUUUAUUGCAAACAUAGUAGAAACCUUAUUUAAUCUAAUGUUUAUUUUUGUAUGUGUCCAGGUUUGCACCGGAAAUGAUGUGACGUAUUUUGCGGUCAGCCUUGACCAACUGUUAGUUAACCAAGACCUGUCAUUUCAGCUGGGCUGGGAAAUGAAAGGAGAGACUGUUCAAAGACAGGCUUUGAAAGACUGCAUAUUUGGUGUCAGCAACAUAAAUCACUGACGCUGAUGGUCUUUCCUGAUGUGGUCAAGAAGCGGCCGCGUUAUGCACCAGAAAGGGAGGGGUGCGUUCCCAGAAACACAAGCCGUAGUUGACUUUCUAAUUGAACCUUUGCUUUAUUUUGUAACUGUAAGUGACUCAUUAAAAGGUCUCAUCAGUUUUGUGUUUAGUUCUGUAUUUUCUCUUUCUGGCAGAUGAGCUUUACUCGGACAGUUGGCUGAAAAACGUGUACUUUCCCACUGACCCCAGGCACAGUUGAUCAGCCAAGACAUGUUUAAUAAUCACCAUUUUAUUAGUUGACUGUUUUUAUCUUGUUACUACUGAAUGUAUCUAAGUAUAUCUGAAUAUAUGUACUGAAUGUUUCAGAGUGAUUCUGUAACUGUAGUGAAGUGUUACUGAAUAUAACAUGACAACUUCAUGAAAACACAGUCACUGUGAAGUCUUACUUAUUGUUAUACAGAUAAUACUAGAACUUUGUCCACAAAACCACCAGUGAACCUCCACACAUCUUCUGAGUUUUAUAUACAAUGAUGAUGAUAAUGAUGAUGAGGAUGAUGGUAAAAUAAUGGAAGAUCUGAAAUAAUAAGCUUUACUGGGUCCUACUUUACCUGGAUCCCUUCACCAUUAAUGGACUCAAAAGGAGAUUGUAGCCCAAAUGUUGAUCUCAGAACCAUCAUAAAACAGUGCCUCAGUCAUCAGGCAGUGAAUUCAUAAGCAUUUCAUGUAGUAACUCUGUGAGGGAGCUUUUAGAGGUGGACGUCUGGUUCCUAUCACCACCACUGUGAACAGUUCUGACUCGGUAAGUUUCUGUAGAACAGGGCGUUUCACACCAAACCACUCUGAAUGAUUUUAUAUAGAUCAGCCAGUAACUUAUGGAGAAAUUUAGGAAAGUUGGUGGAAUUGGGCGGGGGUCUGUGGGCGUGGCUUAAUAUUAAAAUGAGUACGUGCAGAAAUUGAUAGCUGAGCAGAGAAAUGAGUGAAAUGGGCUCUACUUUAUUCUAUUGUAGUUGUAGUUGUAGCUGUAGUUGUUCUCUUCUCUACUCCAUGACUCACUGAAACACUCUCCAGCGUUUCUGUGGCGCUGCUUUAAAGAAGGUAAGGGUCUUUAAUUCUGAAAGUCCACACAGAGAAACAGAGAACGCGGACACGACCGACAGACAAGAAGACGGAUGUAAACUAAUGUCCAGCUGUAAAGAUGUCAGCUUUUUUCGAGCCGUUAUAACUGAGGAGACCGGCCACUGAUUGAAAUGGGAAUGGAAAACUCGCAACGCUCAACAUGGCGUCUGUUUACGGUGAAACUCCCGCCCAUCAAGAAGCAGAGCCAAUCAGCUUGCUGGUUGCGCUGUGAGCCCUCCCCCUUGUUGUGGCGAUCAGUAGCCAGAACGAGCUGAAAAAAGAUGUUUUUUUGUGCGUUACUGAGCCAAACGCUACAAACUUCUUAUGAGGUUUUGUCAGAUUUUAUCGUGUCUUUAAAUGUGUUUUUGAAAAGGUAAUUUGACCCUCAGUUUGGAGUUUUUUAGUCUCUCCCAUUUUAAAGAGGGUGGAUUCUGGUCUUGUACGGUUGGAACUGAACGACGAACAGUGUGAGUGCGCCCCCUGCUGUUCAUCAUUAACAUUACCGCCGCUUCAAUCAGGAGAUCUUUCAGACUCUAUAAUUAUAAUGUACUGUAUCCUGAUCAAGAAACGUGGGUCGUUAAUUCCAGGUUGUCUGUUCUGCAGCGUUUAUUCACGGCGUUAGUCUGAUAAGGACUCUUAUUCUGAAGGAGUCAGAACAGGAAGAACUGAGUCAGUCGGAGCUGAAAAACUCCACCGUCUGAAACCUGUAUAUUUUCCACUGGAGUGUGUUGGAUAUGGGAGAGUCAGAUCUCGGCUCUGGAACACUUUAGGAUGGUACUAAGAGCGCAGCUGUCUACGUCUGAUCAUCACUAACCCACCGUCUGAGUUUGGAGAAGAUCGGAGAAAGUCAACAUUUUCACCCACAAAUCCUCUCAGAGGGACCCCUUUGAGUUUUUUUAGAGGACAUUUUUGACUUUGUCCAAUCUUCUCCAAACUCACACCCAGAGUUAGGGAGACCCAGACUUAGACAGUAGUGCUUUUAGUUUAGUCUGAUCUCACACCAAAGCAGAGAUCAGAUGAUCCCAUUUCUGAUCCAUUCCAGUCUAGUACAGAUCUGAGUUUUGGACAGUAGAAUUUUAAAAAGACAGAUACGGCUUCAGGAGAGAGACGGGCUGCAUGGAAAACUGCUGUUACAACAUAUAAAUCCACUAUUUAAAGGCUUUGCUUUGUACAAUCCACUGGAAAUGUAUUGGAAAUAGCUUAAAUAUAAUAGAAUUGGGAUGAAGUCCCACCGUUAGUAUCUGCAUGUUAUCUCCACACAAAAUACACAAAACCACACAAAAUACACAAAAACUGAUUUUUCUGAAUCUGUAAUGCAGUGAUUUAUUUCUACCACUGGAGGGCGAUGAUGAGCACAGUUGUGGAGAUGGAGGUACCAUCGAAGGCAGCAGUGAGUUUAUUAGGUGUGUCACAGGUUUUUUUUUAUUUAUUUUUUUUUAUUAGCAGUUCAGAAGAAACAGUGGAAUUUUUGCUCGAACUGUGGAAUAAAACAAAACCUCUGAUUAUUCUUUCAGUUUCUGGGUAAGACUUUAGUCUCCAGGCGGUUCUGAAAAUACUUUUGGAGUUUAUGACAAACAAGAGUCACUGUAAAUUAAUCUGUUCAGAUUUUGGCUUCUUGAUUGCACUUAAUUAUGAAAGCUAACGUUUAUUUGCACAACAUUUUCAAUAUUUAAUUAAUUUUACGUCCCAAAGUCUUUAAAACUGGCUCAGUGUUUACACCAUGAUAAUCAUCUAUGUUACAUGAUGAGGAGGGACAGUGCAGAACUGUGCCAUCUGCUGGUGACGAGGAGGGACAGUGUAGAACUGCGCCAUCUGGUGGUAAUGAGGAGGGACAGUUUAGAACUGCGCCAUCUGCUGGUGACAAAGAGGUCUGUGUUAAUAACGGACCAAUCAGCCAAUGAAAUGUUAACAGAUCAGCCAAUGAGGUGUCCUGUUAGAAGGAGAGUGACUCAAAAUGGAGGAAGAAGAACGGCUCCAAGGUCAGGAAACUGGGUCUGGAUUUUGGCCUCUGGAUCUUCAUUCCAUGCUGAAAAGUUCCCGGUUGUUGGUCUGAGUUCAGUCUGAAGCGUCAUUCAGCUGGAUUUUCUGCAGCACAAAUAACCUUCCCAGAAUGCAAGACGCCAAGAAUCUCAUGGACUUAUUGAUCUUACACACCAGUUUUGCAUAUAUUUGCAUAUUGAUGAGCAAGCAACCAAUCAGAGAAGCCAAUUAAAUAAAAAAAAAAUAAAUCGAGUCUUUAUAAGGCUUGUGAUGUGAACGCUGUUCUCGAUGACGGUGAAGACGAGAAAAAACACUAAUAAACAGGUUCCUCAGCCUCACCCAUAGUAGGCAGGAUUUGAGACGAGCCAGUAUUGGUUCAGCCCACCAUCUCAAGCACAGCGCCAUGGAAACGACGCAACCUGAGCGGCCCAAAUUUAUACAAAUAAAAGGCACUAUGAACAAUAACUACUUCAAGACUAGUUGGUUAAUUGAUGGUAACUUUUAUUGAUUUCCACACAUGGUAAUAUGCUAAUUUCACAAGUUACCAUAAAGAAGAAGGCUGGAGCUCCAAGUUAAGUUUGACCAAUGAAGCAGUUAAUUCUCCAUUUGAUACUAUGCUUAGAAAGUUUUAAGCAGUAAUUCUUUUCUGCAAUGACUUGUGCGUUUCUGUUUCUGGUCAUUUCAGUGUUAUUUUCCAAUCAUUGCAUAGUUACAGAUAUUUCUUAGUCUCCAUCGCCUUACGUUUUCUUAUGAACAGUAGCUAUUUCAGGACUAGUUCUCAAAUUGAUGGUAACCUCUAGUCAUUUCUUAGCAUGGUUAUAUUGUAAUUUUGCAAAUUUUUGAGUCACCAUGAAUGAGAAUCCUAGGCCACCGAACCAAGAUUGACCAACCAAGAAAGGAGUUUGGAGUUUGAAAUUUUCAAUUUAAUUUGUGUUUAUCAUUUUCUGUUUAUUUUAAUGUCAGAGACACAAAGGUGUUUUUGGAGUAGUGUUUUUUUGGACUCUGUAACAGUCAUGGAGAUUAAACUCUAGACCAUUUUACACAGA